UACGUAGGCAGCGAGCGUUGUUCGGAGUUACUGGGCGUAAAGCGCGCGUAGGCGGUGUCUUAAGUUUGUUGUGAAAUCUCCCGGCUUAACCGGGAGGGUGCGGCGAAUACUGAGAUGCUGGAGUGCCGGAGAGGUAAGCGGAAUUCCUGGUGUAGCGGUGAAAUGCGUAGAUAUCAGGAGGAACACCUGCGGUGUAGACGGCUUACUGGACGGUAACUGACGCUGAGGCACGAAAGCGUGGGUAGCAAACAGG
rnacentral:rRNA from 1 species